rnacentral:rRNA from 1 species
CGACCUUGCCUCGUGGUGGGGGAUAGCCGGCCCAACGGCCGGGUAAUACCGCAUAGGGUAGUUUCUUCGCAUGGGGAGACUAGCAAAGCCGUGCAGCAAUGCACUGGCGCCACAGGGGGGGCUCGCGGCCUAUCAGCUAGUUGGGGGGGUAAUGGCCCACCAAGGCGACGACGGGUAGCUGGUCUGAGAGGAUGGCCAGCCACAUUGGGACUGAGAGACGGCCCAG